GAAGGGGGCUAGCGUUGCUCGGAAUCACUGGGCGUAAAGCGCACGUAGGCGGACUCUUAAGUCGGUGGUGAAAUCCUGGAGCUCAACUCCAGAACUGCCUUCGAUACUGAGAGUCUCGAGUCCGAGAGAGGUGAGUGGAACUGCGAGUGUAGAGGUGAAAUUCGUAGAUAUUCGCAAGAACACCAGUGGCGAAGGCGGCUCACUGGCUCGGUACUGACGCUGAGGUGCAAAAGCGUGGGGAGCAAACAGGAUUAGAUACCCUGGUAGUCCACGCCGUAAACGAUGGAUGCUAGCCGUUGGCAGGCUUGCCUGUCAGUGGCGCAGCUAACGCAUUAAGCAUCCCGCCUGGGGAGUACGGUCGCAAGAUUA
rnacentral:rRNA from 1 species